rnacentral:rRNA from 1 species
UACGUAGGGUGCAAGCGUUAAUCGGAAUUACUGGGCGUAAAGCGUGCGCAGGCGGCUUUGCAAGACAGAUGUGAAAUCCCCGGGCUCAACCUGGGAACUGCAUUUGUGACUGCAUGGCUGGAGUGCGGCAGAGGGGGGAUGGAAUUCCGCGUGUAGCAGUGAAAUGCGUAGAUAUGCGGAGGAACACCGAUGGCGAAGGCAAUCCCCUGGGCCUGCACUGACGCUCAUGCACGAAGCGUGGG